GAUUAACGCUAGCGGCAGGCCUAAUACAUGCAAGUUGAACGGCAGCACAGGUAGCAAUUCUGGGUGGCGAGUGGCGCACGGGUGCGUAACACGUAUGCAACCUACCCUAUACAGGCGAAUAACCUUUAGAAAUGAGGGCUAAUACGCCGUAGUAUUACAGAUGGGCAUCUAUUUGUAAUUAAAGGUUUAUCGGUAUAGGAUGGGCAUGCGUCCCAUUAGUUAGUUGGUAAGGUAACGGCUUACCAAGACGAUGAUGGGUAGGGGAUCUGAGAGGACUUACCCCCACACAGGGACGGAGACACGGACCAGACUCAUACGGGAGGCAGCAGUAAGGAAUAUUGUGCAAUGGCUGCGAGGCUGACCCAGCCAGGCCGCGUGCAGGAAGACAGCCUUAUGGGUUGUAAACUGCUUUUAUACGGGAAUAAUAGAGUGUACGCGUACAUUUAUGCAAGUAUCGUAUGAAUAAGCAUCGGCUAACUCCGUG
rnacentral:rRNA from 1 species